GGUGUGAAGGAUUUCACUUCAAAGGCAGUUUGUCUAAUGGGAACAUAUUCACCACUGUGAAGGAGUGUGAAAGCCUCUGUGGAGAUGUUAAAGAAACCGUUCGUGGCCCGAGCACAGCUACUACAACCACUCAACCUGCU